UAAAAUGGUGGGUCAAACGUCCAUUUUACCGCCGUAUUGUUGGGUCUUUAGUCGAUUGUCGGGUCCCAAAGUCGAUUAUCGGGCACUUGGACCCGACAGUUGAAGACCCACUUAAUAAAAGGCUGCUUAACAUCCUCAUGACUAUUUUUUAAUUCAAAUUUGCGUAUGUAAUUUUACUCGAAUUGUCGGGCCUAUAUCUCCCAUUCGCAAACUUUAGAUCAAACUCCUCACGGCAGUUACUUCCCUUGGGCAUCUUCUAGAAUAAGGGAGGCCACUGAGCCCUUUUCGGAAAGUCGCAUAUCUCCCCUGAGUAUUCUCCGGAAUUGGAGGUUCUCAAUCGCUGGCAUUCGGUACCCCUCGCAGAUUAUCAUAAUACUUAUCCGAUGUUUGACGGAAAGGGCCGAGAAUGUGCGAUUGAAUCGCUGGGUAGUAUUGAUUUCCAGUAACAAUGGCGUCGAAUGAGAAAGAAAACGAUCGUUAUCUGUCUGACAUCGAAAUUGACAAAUUAAGUGUUGCACAAUUGAAGGAUUAUUUACGAUUUCAUAAUCAUUAUGUGUCAGGGAAUAAGAAUGAACUUGUCUUGAGGACAAAAGGCGUACAAAAGCUAGGAUUAAAUGAUCGACAGCUGCACAGGAAUGCGGAAGUAAAUUAUGAAAAAAGGAAAACAGAAAAACUUUUUACGCCACUCGGUGAAAAGCUGCCACAUCCAGAUGUAUUAAAAACGUUGAGUAGUGACUUAAUGGACUUUCCUACAUUAAUAGAUAGUGACAUCUACAAUUAUUUUGUGCUGAAAAUGAACACACAAAAACAAUUGAGAUCAAAAAAUUGUAUUAUGUUUACAGACAUAAACACAGUAUUUUGUACCAUGACAUAAGUGACAAAUGGGAACAUUGUUUUGUUAAAUGCAAAGUAUUACCAUCACUACCGAGUGCAAAUGUGAAAGAAAACCCAGAUCACAGUGUGUGGCUCUGUCUGUCAAAGGUCACUGGACAGGUUCAUUCAGCGGAAUGUAAUUGCACAGCCGGGAGCGGAGAAGCAUGUAUCCAUAUUGGUGCAUUUAUGUAUGCCCUUUCUGAUCUCACUGCUAAAAAGAAGGACGGCACUCUAAGAUCAACCUCAAAAAAAUGCGUGUGGGACAGAUUUAAUAAUCCCCGGAAAAGAAAGCGAACGCCUAAAAAGUCUAGCGAAUUUACAUUUCGGAAACAUACCUUUGAGUCAAAAUUAGAGCCAGUCGAAAAUAACACCAGAAAAGAACUUCUUGCGAUUUCUGUAAAUGAGAACAGUUUCCGUUCAAAACUCGAAAAUAUGCAACCCAACAGCUGGAUGGCUUUUGAACUUUGUAGAAGAGAAGGAAGAGGUGAAAUUACCAAAGUUUAUAGAAAUUGGAUAUAACUUUAGUGAUAGCGUAGAUCUGAAUAGUGAAACUGUGAAGGAUAAAAUGUCGAAAAUGAUGGAUAUGCUACAAAUGGAUGAACUUGAAUGCCAAAGUAUUGAAAAAUUAACCAGAGGUCAGGGAAAGAACGUACUUUGGGAAGAUGAAAGAAAAUUACGUGUAACUGCAUCCAAUUUUGGUGAAGUAAUUUUACUGAAACAAGAGACUGAAAGAUUUAAAAGAAAUUGAGUGCAAUCUUUAAAGAAUAGUAACAAAUAUGAAUUUAAGAUCACAAUUGUGAAUUUCUCGCAAGCUUACCCUUGCUCCUAGAAUAUGUUUUUAUAAUUUUGAUGUCUCACUUUUCUCUAGAGAUUAACCCUUUACUUCUUAAAUAUGUAUUUUCAAGCUUUUGUAGUUCCUUAAAAAGUUAAAUGUAAUAAAGUACCUUUAUUACUAAAUUUAAGUUUUAAAGGCUUCAUUUCCAACCCUUAAAUACUGAUGAGCAGCAAACAGUAUAAAACCUGAACAGACUGCGAGUUACUAGCAUGCUGUUCUGGUUUUAUGCUGUUUUCACUGUGCUUCCAAGUGGAAUAGGGUUAAAUAACAAAAGUUAACGCCAGAUCAGAAAAUAAUUUAAGUAACAACAGUACAGGACAUCAUUGAGGUCCCUCCUUUUUUAUGUUUCAAUAGUCAUUUAGCUCUACAAAGCAUAUAAAUAUUGUACAUAAAAGUGUAUGAAUGUAUAAAUAUUUAUCAACUGUUCAUAUUAUGAAUUUUACAGUAGUACAUGUAGAAUGCUUUUCAACGAUUUGUGUACGGUUCAUUAAUACCAUCACAACGUGAUUGUCAAUUGUUAUUCCGCUAAAUUGAUUUGCUCUUAAAAUGAUAAAUCAUAAAAAGAACUUUUGCUAUGUUAUUAUCCAUCACUUAUUACCUUACCUGUGUUUGGAGAAAAACCGAAGGGUUUACGAUAAUAAUCUGUUUCAAAAUGUUAAAAUGAUAUGAAAUUAAUGAGUGGCAAGCAUGAACCAAAUUAAGAAAAUCAACACAGAGGUAUCAACAGCUGCAUCUUAUUAAAAAUCUGUGCACAAUGCUUUUUGUCCAAGUAUAGAUCAUUUCAGAACCCCAUUGAGUUAAUAGACACCUUGGAAGCUUUGCUGGUAUGACUUCUGCUUUACAUCUGACAAGUACUCUGCAGGUGUUGCUACUUGUAUCAGAAAUCUUGGUUUUAAACAAGAGCUGUCACCAUAGGAUGACUUAUGCCCCCUAUAUACGCUUGAUAGAAGUUAUGAGCAUUUUCCCAAACCUAAAUGCAUAUUUCGAAACCUAAACACGGACCCUAAGUUUAAGGUCAAGGUCACAGGGGUCAAAGUUUGUGUGCAUAUGGAAAGGCCUUGACCAUAUACACAUGCAUGCCAAAUAUGAAAAUGCUAUCUGAAGCGACAUAGAAGUUAUGAGCAUUUUUCGAAACCUAAACGCAAAGUGUGACGGACAGACCGACAGACAGUCCGAUCACUAUAGCGACAUAGAAGUUAUGAGCUUUUUUCGAAACCUAAAUGCAUAUUCGAAACCUAAACGCGGACCCUUAGUUUAAGGUCAAGGUCACAGGGGUCAAAAUUUGUGUGCGUAUGGAAAAGCUUUGUCCAUAUACACAUGCAUGCCAAAUAUGAAAUUGCUAUCCAAAGCGACAUAGCAGUUAUGAGGAUUUUUCGAAACCUAAACGCAAAGUGUGACGGACGGACAGACCGACAGACAGUCUGAUCACUAUAUGCCCUCCUUCGGGGGCAUAAAAAUUCUUGACGGGUUUAUUGCUCCCAAUUAUAAAUUAACUGUUGAUUAAGUCUUCAGUAGCAGUACUAAACCUUAAAGACAAACAUUUACUUAGGUAUACAAAAGAAAUCUGUGUUUUCAACGCUCUGUGUCAAUUAAUGUAUGUAAACUUGAAUCCAGUACAAUAUUUAUCAGAAUUUCAGUCUUAUAAUUUGUUUGGUCUUACAAAACUGCUUUCAAGCAAGAAAACAUGUAUAAAUAUAUUGGCACAAACACACAAACGCAGAAACACAAUUUUCUUUUUUUGCCUGAAAAUGUUUGUAUGGAAUAUGAGACAAGAAAAUAAUAAUCAGUAACAAUUUUAUUUUCACAAAUGAAAGCUGACUGUAAAAUGUGAAAUUAAGUAUUAUUCACAUAAUUACAUAGUAUAUUACUUAUACAUACAUGCAAUGGUCAAACACUUCUAGUUAAAUUGUAUACUGAAUUUCUCACAAAGUUCACUUGUUCAGCUUCUUAUCAAACUUAAUUUGUACUAGUUUUAAGGAGCCACUUUUCCAGUUUAUAUUAGCAUGACUAUUUUCAGUUUAUAAACACACUUUAUUUUCCGGGGACAGGUUUUUCGUGCUAACCCUGCUUUCAUUCCAACACUGACCUCAUCAAAUAAACACUCAAAAGUUCCAGCAGUUGGGAUACCAGUGUAGAACAACACCUUAUCGUCAUCAUCCCUUAUAUCCUCAAAGGUGAAGCUAGGCCGAUCCACUUGUAUCCCAACUGUCGACGUUUCAGUAGAAGUCUGGGUUGAUAUACUUCUGGGAACUCUCGUAUCGUCGGUUUGAGUAACCACAGAAAUCAGCUCCGGUUGCACUUGUUCACACUGAUGACGGAUUAUGGCGGGUACUGGUGUAAACCUUCCAUAGUCAUGGAGCUGAAAUAAAUAAAUACAUUUUUACAAGCAAAGUAAAUGCAGUUUGAAGUAAAGAUUAUAGGUCUUUCUGUAUUUUACUAAGGCAUCACCAAACUGAUAACUUCUUCAGUUUUUUUCUUUAAAAAUGGGAAGAGCAUGAAAAACAACUAUCUAUUUAUACUGCCAAGUGCCCUUUCGAGCAUGGUAGGCAGACAUGGACAUUAUCGAGUCGGUUUCCUGGGAAGAACCAGUACUUGGUGUCCAUGGAGGAGAUAAUUAGAAUGCUUCCCAAGUAAGGAGUGAACCCACUAACACCCGAUCGCUAGGCGGAUAUCUCAUCCACUACAACACCGCGACCUUGAACUACAAAUAUUUUUUUAUGUCCCCCACUAUAGAAGUGGGGGACAUAUUGUUUUUGCCCUGUCUGUUGGUUGGUCUGUUGGUUGGUUGGUUUGCGCCAACUUAAACAUUUUGCAAUAACUUUUGCUAUAUUGAAUAUAGCAACUUGAUAUUUGGCAUGCAUGAGUAUCUCAUGGAGCUGCACAUUUUGAGUGGUGAAAGGUCAGAGGUCAAAUAUAUGUGGCCUAAAUUGCUCAUUUUAUGAAUACUUUUGCAAUAUUGAAGAUAGCAACUCGAUAUUUGGCAUGCAUGUGUAUCUCAUGGAGCUGCACAUUUUGAGUGGUGAAAGGUCAAAGUCAAGGUCAUCCUUCAAGGUCAGAGGUAAAACAUAUUUGUCCCAAAUCGCUUAUUUUAUUAAUACUUUUGAAAUAUUGAAGAUAGCAACUUGAUAUUUGGCAUGCAUGUGUAUCUCAUGGAGCUGCACAAUUUGAGUGGUGAAAGGUCAAGGUCAUCCUUCAAGGUCAAGGUCAUCCUUAAAGGUCAAAUAUAUGGGUCAAAAUUGCUCAUGUAAUGUCACUUCUGCAAUAUUGAAGCUAGCAAUUUUAUAUUUGAAAUGCAUGUGUAUCUCAUGGAGCUGCACAUUUUGAGUGGUGAAGGGUCAAGGUCAUCCUUCAAGGUCAAACAUUAUUUAGGGGGACAUUGUGUUUCACAAACGCAUCUUGUUUCAAAUUAUCUUUAUUCAACAACAUUUUGUAUAACGAUAAAACAACUCACUCUUAGAGAUACGUCUAGUAGUGAUGCACUGCUUUCAACCAACAAACCAUCUGCCUCGUUCUCGAAACUCAAGUCUGGUGAACGGUUAUCUGACAUUUCCUCAGUUUCUGGUGUGGAAUUCGUCUCAUCUGCUUCAGGGCCAUUUUCCAGAGUCUGUAAGGUAAACAAAUAAAAUUAAAUCAGCACAUCAAAGACCUAGAAAUACACAUACUUUUUCAAACUAACAUGAAAGAAUGAUGUUCAGAUACGUAAUAUUUAUGCUUCUGUAUCAUGUUGUAAACACCGUCAGAUUCUAUACCGAUAGAGUAACUGACCCAUGUUCAUUCUUGAAACCUCGUAUAGCCUAGUGGCAACAUAUCCGCUUCAAAAUAUCAGAUACCAUUGGUUCGAUCCUCGGCUGUGAGCUACAUAAAAUAAAUCAUGAACUGUGCCAUGGGUAUGUCUGCCAUUAUCCCAUGCUUGAUUGUACCACAAGGAAUCACUGAUUUGAAUAGUAAGCUCGAUUUAAUAAUCCAUCGGAAUCGUUUUAAGGUGAUAAUCUGAUUACACGCAGUGCGCAAUCUGAUUAUGUGAUGACUUAAAUUAGUAUAAGUAUUAA